GACUGGAUAGCCUAGUGGUAAAGGCAUCACAUUGAUAAUGCUGAGGUCCCACGUUCAAAUCCUGGUCUAGUCA
rnacentral:tRNA from 1 species